AAUUUCUUGAUUAAAAAUAAUAGACAAGUAGCAGAUCUGGAUUAGGAAGACCUCCACCCCCCAAAGCCGACAAGCUAGAGCCGGAUACUAUAGCGUGCCCCGCGAGGACAGAUCUGUGUAAAAUACUGUGCUACAUAAGGUUGCACGUUACAAUAUGAUCAUAUCCACGGUUUUACACCACGCUGCGGCAUCGGCCCAGGCACAUCAGGAUUAAACAAAGGCAAUGUCACCGAAAUAUUUUGCGAGGCUGCAGCCGAUGUUGUUCGCACAUUAUUCAGCAACCUAAGGAAGUUUGGGUUUUGUGUCUCUAAAAUCGCCUGCAACGCCAGAAUGUUCUUGUGGCGAUGGGGAUCCCACUUCUGAUGUCGGAGAUAGGGGUCUCUUCGCCGCUUCGCGAGUUGAUUCAUCCGUCAUGAUUUUCCUUUCACUUGGGUUUUCUUACUAAGAUCCGCAGCGAGUCGCAAUUGCUUUUGUUGCCCGUUCGAAGGUUUUCGAAAGAAUGAAAUCUAAACACUUUUCUUCUCUGGACAACUCUAUCGUGUCCUUGUCAUUCUGUAGUCACUUGUCAUUCUUUUAACUCAUUCUCUACUCCCCUUAAUUUCACUCUCCUUGUUACAACAACAAUUGCGCCACACUCGGCUAAGGUGAGUUCCAAACUAGCCACGCUUUUAAACCCUUAAGUGGUAUUAGAAGGUCACACUUCUUUAUCUUUACUCUUUAUUUGUGUUGACAGGUUUCUCUCCGUUACAUUGGUUUUAUUUUACAUUAAAUAUUAAUAUUAUUAAUUCUCUCGACAUAUUUAUAUUUAUGUGCAUUAGGGUGGGUCGCUUUGUGUGGGCUCAAAAAAGUGGUAAAUCGUGGAGGGGAACGUAAACCUAGCAAUGUUACCAAAGAAACAAUGUCUCAAAACAAUGACCCUCCGCACUUGCAAUAGAUAUCAGAUACCCGAUAUUCAGCUAAGUGUGCUGGGAGCACUCAGGUAGUGUGAAGGAGACAGAGGUAUAAAAGUAGCAAAGCGUCUGUUUCGAACAUUGCACACUUUAUUUGAUUAUAACGGUUUAAUGAAUGGCCCGAAUUGAACCUAUUUUGGACACAGUUGGACAUUGAUAAUCAAAACAAAAUAUCAUUUAAAUCAUUAAAAAAAAAAA